UUCCGGUUGAUCCUGCCGGACCCUACUGCUAUCGGGGUGGGGCUAAGACAUGCAAGUCGUGCGUCUCUAGGCCAUGGUAGAGACGCGGCAUACGGCUCAGUAACACGUGGCUAACCUGCCCUUAGGACAGGGCCAACCCCGGGAAACUGGGGCCUAUCCCUGAUAGGUGAGGAUGCCUGGAAUGGUUCUUCGCUGAAAGGGCGUUGAGACCAUGCUUCUCAGCGUUGCCUAAGGAUGGGGCCGCGCCCGAUCAGGUUGUUGGUGAGGUAACGGCUCACCAAGCCUAUAACCGGUACGGGCCGUGAGAGCGGGAGCCCGGAGAUGGGCACUGAGAUAAGGGCCCAGGCCCUACGGGGCGCAGCAGUCGCGAAAACUCCGCAAUGCGCGAAAGCGUGACGGGGCUACCCCGAGUGCCGUCCGCUGAGGAUGGCUUUUCCCCGGUGUAAUGAGCCGGGGGAAUAAGGAGAGGGCAAGUCUGGUGUCAGCCGCCGCGGUAAUACCAGCUCUCCGAGUGGUAGGGACGAUUAUUGGGCUUAAAGCGUCCGUAGCCGGCUUAGCAAGUCUCCCGUUAAAUUCAGCGACCUAAUCGUUGGGCUGCGGGAGAUACUGUUAGGCUAGGAGGCGGGAGAGGCCGACGGUAUUCUCGGGGUAGGGGUGAAAUCCUAUAAUCCCGGGAGGACCACCAGUGGCGAAGGCUGUCGGCUAGAACGCGCUCGACGGUGAGGGACGAAAGCUGGGGGAGCGAACCGGAUUAGAUACCCGGGUAGUCCCAGCUGUAAACGAUGCGGGCUAGGUGUUGGGGUGGCUACGAGCCACUUCAGUGCCGCAGGGAAGCCAUUAAGCCCGCCGCCUGGGGAGUACGGCCGCAAGGCUGAAACUUAAAGGAAUUGGCGGGGGAGCACCACAAGGCGUCCUCCUUUGAUUUUAAUUGGAGUCAACGCCGG
rnacentral:rRNA from 1 species